rnacentral:rRNA from 1 species
AUACGGAGGGUGCAAGCGUUAUUCGGAAUCACUGGGCGUAAAGGACGCGUAGGCGGGUUGGCAAGUCAGAUGUGAAAUCCUACAGCUUAACUGUAGAACUGCAUUUGAAACUGCUAACCUAGAGUAUGGGAGGGGGAGAUGGAAUUAGUGGUGUAGGGGUAAAAUCCGUAGAUAUCACUAGGAAUACCGAAAGCGAAGGCGAUCUCCUGGAACACAACUGACGCUAAGGCGUGAAAGCGUGGGGAGCAAACAGGAUUAGAAACCCUGGUAGUCC